UGGCCGCCACGGCCCUCGCGCUGCGGCCAGCGCACCGCGCUGAUCCGAAGCAAGGAGCCAGGUGCUUCUCCUGGUCUCCCAUGGGGUGCAGGGCCCAAGCACUUGGGCCAUCCUCCACUGCACUCCUGGGCCACAGCAGAGAGCUGGCCUGGAAGAGGGGCAACCGGGACAGAAUCCGGCACCCCGAUGGGACUAGAACCUGGUGUGCUGGCGCCACUAGGCGGAGGAUUAGCCAAUUGAGCCACAGCGCCGGCCCCCAGAGCCACUUUCAAUCUCUCCCUUUUUGUGACUCAAACUGCACAGCCUUUCCAGGGCUGGCCUGCAGAUGGAGACCACUUCCUUAAAGGCCUCGGUCUUCCCACUGCCCUUGAGGAAAGUUGCCUACAUAGCCAAGGCGGGAACAGCGGAUGCUUCUAGGGCCUAACCCAGAGCUGUCAGAGGAGUGAUGUGGGCUCUCCCUUCUGGAAAGAUCUAGACUGUGACUGCUAUGAUGAGUGGUCCAGUUGGGAGAAAAUUGAAAUUUGUUAUUGUUUGAACUGCUGAUUAUGUGGAUUAUUUUUAUUUUUUAAUUUUUGACACACCGAUCUUUCUAAACCUAGAGAGAGAGUUCUCCCUCCUCUAUCUCAGAGACUGGCAAUGUCAGCUGUGCCCUUACGCUGAUUCCGGGACAGCGGUGCAGACAGUGGCUCCAGCUCUGGCCACCCUGCUCCUGUCACUGAAUCGCUCCCAACCAGAAGAUCCCCAUCACUACUCCCUUGUAGGCCAGAAGCGGAUGCCAGUGCAGGGCAUGUGCCCCUGACCGUUAACAACGGGGCUGGUUUUUCCCUCCAGAAUGAGAUGUUGGAGAAGACAUGCACACAUCAUGAAACAGACAAACUGCAUUAGGGCUCUCCUGGGAAGCCACCACUCUGAACCCCUGUGUGUGCUGGAGAGGAGGAGGGAGGGCCUGCCGUGGCUGCAACCACAGGAUGGGGCUGUGGGGGACAGAUGAGGAGCUGGUUUCCUCUGGCAGUGUGGCUGUUAGACCAGUGCGUGUGUGCAGAAAAGAUCCAGCUCUCACUCUUUGUCUAUAAAUAGCGAUACUUUCUUCAGCUGGAAAAAAAGAAAUCUGUGUGUCUUAUUGCACCUAUAGCCUUGCCUUUCAGCAGAAAGGGCAAAAGGUUGAACCACAUGCUCUCUCAUGAGUCCAGACCAGGAGAACUAGAAGUUGUUUACCAUUUCCAUUCAUAUUUUUGUACUUUUAUUCUAUGUGUUCAUAUCCAGAUUCAAUACCAUAUUAUUGUGUGCAUGUGUGUUUAAGAUUUAUUUGUUAAUUUGAAAGAGUUAUAUAUAGAGAAGGAGAGACAGGGAGAAAGAUCGUCCGUCUGCUAGUUCACCCCCCAGAUGACCACAACAGCCAGGGCUGAGCCACGGUAAAGCCAGGAGCCAAGAGUUUCUUCCAGAUCUCUCACAUGGGUGGCAGGGGCCCAAAUACUUGGGCCAUCUUCUGCUGCUUUUCCCAAGCCAUUAGCAGGGAGCUGGAUCAGAAGUGGAGCAGCUGGUACAUGAACUGGUGCCAUAUGGAAUGCCUGCAUUGCAGGUGGCAGCUUUACCCACCACACUAAAACGCCAACCCCACAUGUAUGUUAUCUACCUGAAUGGUAUUGUACUAUUCCUAACCUCUUAAAACAUUUUUUGUACUCAACAUUGUUUUGAUUAUAUGUGUAUAUAUAUAUGUAUACAUAUAUAUACAUAUAUAUGUAUAUAUAUGUACAGAUGCAGUUCAUACAUUUUAAUUUCUUUUUCAAUUUGUAUUUAUUUAUUGUUCAUUUUGUUUGAAAGGCAGAGAGAUAGAGAGACAGAGAUCUCCCAUCCACUAGUUUAUCCCCAGAUGCUUACACCAGGGCUGGGCCAGCCAAAGCCAGGAGCCUGGAACUCAAUCCAGUCUCAAGUGGGUAGCAGGGACCUAGGGACUUGAACCAUCGCCUAUUGCUUCUGUCAGAAGAGGAGCUGGAACUUGAACUAGGCACUCCAAUAUGGAUACAGCUGUCCCCAGCAGGGACUCAACUGCUGGACCAAACACCCAACCUCGUUUUAACUUCUACACGGCAUCAUAUCGUAAAGCUGUCUACAGUUUGUUUAUCCACUCUAUUAGCUUUUCGUCACUGUGAUAAAAUACUCAAGAUGAGCUACUCAGUGGAGGAGUUUAUUGUGGCUCACAGUCCGAGAUAAGGCAGGCCUGGUGUGACCAUCUGGGAGCCCAGAGGGUAGCACUGGAGGGGUGUGGGCAAGAGCAGUCACAUGAGAAACCAGAAAGCAGAGACGUGAGACCCAACUCAGCUUUUAUAACCAACCCAACCCUCUAGAGAGAACUACCUCCAGAGAGCAUACCCCAGUGACCUACGGGCCUCUCACUAGUCUCACCCCCAAAACAUCAUAAUUGGAUAAAAUUCCACUCUUAGUACCAUUAACUUAUCACUUUGAGGAUUAAAUGUCUGCAUGAGUUCCGAAGUCAUACCCUGGUCAAACCAUGACAUCUACUCUACAACUGAUGAGUGUUAGGUCGACCUAUUUCCACUUCUUGGAACAUUUUUUAAUAAUUACUUUAACAUAAAUAAACAUUUUAAAUGAGCCAGUGCUGUGGUGUAAUAAGGUAAGCAUCUGCCUGUGGCACCAGCAUCCCAUAUAGGUGCCAGUUCCCCAUAUGGGCACCAGUUCGAGUCCUGGCUGCUCCACUUGGGAACCAGCUCCCUGCUCAUGGCCUGAGAAAGCAGUGGAAGAUGGCCCAAGUGUUUGGGAGACCUGGAAGAAGCUCCUGGCUUUCGAUGGGCCCAGCUCCAGCUGUUGCAGCCAUCUGGGGAGUAAACCAGCAGGUGAAAGACCUCUCUCUCUGUCUCUCCCUCUCUCUGUAACUCUUCCUCUCAAAUAAAUAAUGGCUGGGUCUGGGCCAGGCCAAAGCCAGGAGCUCAGAACUCCCUCCUGGUACUUGGGCCAUCUUCUGCUGCCCUCCUAUGUGUAUCAGCAGGGAGCUGGAUCAGAAGUGGGGCAGCUCAGACUCAACCGCUCUCUGAUAUGGGAUGCUGACGUUGCAAGCAGAGGCUUAACCCCUGCACCCCCAUAUCAGCCCUUCAGAUUUUUUACAGACUCUCAAAAAAUCAGACUCUUCAUGAAAAAAUUACUUGACUUACAUUCAAGUAAAAUACAUUUUUUGGUAUAUUUCUUUUUUCUGUGAGAAAGCAGUAGAAACAUUUCUGGUCGUUUGCCUUUUAAAAAUAAGGACAGGAAACAACACAUUUAGAGUAAACAUCUCACAAUCAAAAUGUAGACUUUGGUUGAUCCCAUGACUGGAAAGGAAGCCCUUAGGACUUUCGGUUUCUAAGUUCACAUUUCCCAAAUGUUCUAGUUUGUUUUGACAGGCCUGCAUGGCUUUGAUAUCUAAAAUCAAAGUCACUUUGAUUUUUGCUAUUUAUCUCCUUCUGGAUUUUUGGCCUCGGUUUUCUGCUGUUGCGCAAAUAGAGCAAGAUUUUAAUUCACUGUAACACAAACCCCUGUUUGGUGGGAUUUUUUCUUCCACUCUAAGGCAAAGGGUCAAACUUGCCCUCCCCCAGAUUUAAGGCGAGGUUGGCACCCAACCCAUUUAUAUCAACAUGAUCAGUUCCCUUCCCUCCAGCAGUUGUGUCCUGUCUAAUGGCCUCUACCAGCCUCAGUGUCCCAGCUGGAUGUGAGGAGCUGACUUUUGUUCAGGAAAGGGUAUUUUACGAGAGAGUGAGUUCAAUAUUCUAAGAACAAUUUGAGGCCGGCGCCACGGCUCACUAGGCUAAUCCUCCGCCUUGCGGCGCCGGCACACCGGGUUCUAGUCCCGGUCGGGGCGCCGGAUUCAGUCCCGGUUGCCCCUCUUCCAGGCCAGCUCUCUGCUGUGGCCAGGGAGUGCAGUGGAGGAUGGCCCAAGUGCUUGGGCCCUGCACCCCAUGGGAGACCAGGAGAAGCACCUGGCUCCUUGCUUAGGAUCAGCGUGGUGCGCUGGCCGCAGCACGCUGGCCGCGGCGGCCAUUGGAGGGUGAACCAACGGCAAAAAGGAAGACCUUUCUCUCUGUCUCUCUCUCUCACUGUCCACUCUGCCUGUCCAAAAAAAAAAGAAAGAAAGAAAGAUUGAUGCCGGAGAGAACCUGGCUCACAACAAAAUGCUUGCAGAGGGCACAGUGAGUGGAGAAGAGAACCAGAAAGUCCAGGAGGGUUGCACUGGCGGUGGGGAGGCUCAGGGAAGACCUAUAAGGAAAUAUUUUCCUAGGCAGCAUGCGUGAAUGAUUUUUCAUGUUAUCUUGUUGGAGAGGCAAGCAGCCAUUUUGAUCUCUGUUGAUGCUCAGAGUUCGGCUGUGGUCUGCAUUCUUCACCUGUGCCUGUGCUACCUCCUCAAGGCGCUCUACUGUCUCUUCACACGCAUCCUGCAUCCCGUGUGUGGACAGCACAGCCUGACCUCACUCCUUCUCCGUCCGGGUCUCAGUGUUUGCCCAUCCCUAGGCUGUGCCCACACUCCUGCGAUGUGGCAUUGCGCCUCCUCCCUCCUCCAGAGCAAGCUCCCGUGUUCCCUUUCUGUCUGGGACACCUUCCAGUGUAGAAGUGGAGGAGAGGUAAAGGGAACAAACGCGUUCUAAACCCCUUGGGCUGUCCAAGAUGUGUGCAUCAUCUCAAAGGAAAUGUCUAAAUAACUGCUGGAAUGAUGCGCACCUGCCAAGGUGCUAGGGGGAGGGUUUGAAUGAAGUUAGUAAAAAAAAAAAAAGUAAUAAGCGAAAAAAGGCAAAAACAGUGGUGCAAAUAGAAAACAUAGUAAGACAAGCUUAAAUCUUUUUUUUAAAAAAAGAUUUUAUUUAUUUAAUUGAGAGGUAGAAUUACAGACAGUAAGAGGGAGACAGAAAGAGAGGUCUUCCAUCCACUGGUUCACUCCUCUCCUCAAAUGACCACAAUGGCUGGAGCUGAGCCAAUCUGAAGUCAGGAGCCAGGAGCUUCCUCCAGGUCUCCCACAUGUAUGCAGGGGCCCAAGCGCUUGGGCCAUCUUCUACUGCCCUCCCAGGCCAUAGCAGAGAGCUGGAUUGGAAGAAGAGGGGCCAGGACUAGAACUGAUGUCCAAGAAAUCUUAUGUUAUCAGUAAUUAUAUUGAAUGUAAAGAGACUAAAUGUUUCAAUAAAGGUAAUCCAAAUUACUUAAAGACCAAAAAAAAAAAAAAGCUAAAACUAAAUAUAUGCUCUUUGUAGCAGACAUUUUAAGUAUGUGAAAGGAGAGGCUGUAGCGUUGAAAGAUCAGGGGCAGCAGUGUGGCCUAUUGCACUGCCAGCAGAAUGCUAGCACAGGUCACACAUGCUCCACUUUCUACCUGGCUUCCAGGUGUGGGAAGCCCGUGGGUGACCACUCAGGUACUUGGGCCCCUGCCGCCCAUGUAGGAAACUUGUACUGAGUUCCCAGCUCCCCAGCCCUGGCCAGCCCCAGCCAUUGUGACCGUCAGGGGAGUGAACCAGUAGACAGAGCUUUCUCUGUCUCUCCCUCUCUCCAUCACCCUGCCUUUCAAGUAAAUAAAUAAAUACACAUACAUAAACUGAAUAGUAAGCCAUAUCACACAAGCACUAAGAAAAUUAAGCUGGUGUAGCUUUAUUAAUGUUAGAUGUGGGGGUAGGUGUUUGGCGAGUAGUUAAUUUGCCACUUGGGACACCAAAUCCCAUAAUCGGGGUGCCUGGGUUCCAGUCCCAGCUCCACUCCCCAUUCCAGCCUCCUGUUAAUGUGUACCUUGUGAAGCAGCAGCUGAUGGCUCAAGUUUUGAUCUCCGCCUCCCAUGUAGGAACCUGUAUUGAGUUCCCAACUCCCAGUGUGAGCCCCACCCCAACCCUGGCCACUACGACCACUGGGGAGUAAGCCAGCAGAUGGCAGUUCUCUGUGUAUGUCUCUCUGCACCUCUCAAAUAAUAAAUAAAGAUAAAAACAGUAACUGAGGAGAAAUAAAUAAAUUCACAAUCAUAGUGGGAGAUUUAUAAAAAAAGACUUCUUUCAGUAAUUUGGAGAAAAGACUCAGAGAAAAAUCAGUAGGAAAUAAAGAUUUAAAGUGUACAGUUUCCAAAAAUUACCCUAAUAUAUAGAGAGCACUACCCCUAACACACACUGCCAAUCGCAUACACAGCAAUUACAAACAUUCACCAUAUGCUGAGCCUAAAGCUGGUCUCAAGAAUUACGUUCUUGGGGGCUGACACUGUGGUAUAGUGGUGGAGCCACCACCUGCAGUGCUGGCAUCCUAUAUGGGCACCGGUUCAAGACCUGGCUGCUCCGCUUCCAAGCCAGCUCUCCGCUGGGGCUUGGGAAAUCAAUAGAAGAUGGCCCAAGUGCUUGGGCCCCUGCACCCGUGUGGGAGACCCGAGAGAGGCUCCUGGCCUCCUGACUUCAGAUCAGCCCAGCUCUGCCUGUUGUAGUCAUUUAGGGAGUGAACCAGUAGAUGGAAGAUCUCUCUCUCUCUCUCUCUCUCUCUCUUCCCCACCCCACCUCUCUGUAACUCUGCCUUUCAAAUAAAUAAAUAAAUCUUCUAAAAAAAUUACGUUUUCUGACAAGUAUGCCACCAUGCUAGUAAGUAGUAACAAAAAUAUAACCUGAAAGUACUUUCUUUGUGGAAGUUAAGACACAUAACUCUCAGUAACUGACUGACAAAGAAGGAAUCAAAAGGGAGUUUAAAAAAUAUUUGGCUCUGGGGCUGGCAUUGUGGCACUGCCAGUUAAGCCGCAACCUGUGACACCAUCGUCCCAUAUGCGCACUGGGUGGAGUCCGGGUUGCUGCACUUCCGAUCCAGCAGCAGAUGAUGGCCCCUGUACUUGGGCCCCUGCACCCAUGUGGGAGUCCCAGGCUCCGAGCUUUGGCCUGGCCCUGAUCAGGCUGUUGUGGCCAUUUGGGGAGUAAACCAAGAUCUCUGUUUCUCCCUCUCUCUGUGACUCUGGCUUUCAAACAAAUAUUUGAAAAGAAGAGACUAUAUGGCACUGAAUGGUAAUGAAAACAGAUGGAGAAGUUGUGAGGUGCAGGUUCCGCCCUAGGGCGUGGGGGCGGGGAGUGUGCUCCACAUCUUCGCUGGCACUGAGUGACGCUGGCAAGACCACGUGGAACAGAGCUGCAAGGGCUCCAAAGAGGCCACGGUGGCAGGUGGGUGUGGAAGCCGUCCAGAAUCCAAAGUUCCAAACCGGUGGUGAAUUUAACAUUUUUCCCUCUGGAAUCUAUUGGCCUGAAUGCAAAGCAACCCACAAACCUGGAAGUGGGAAACUGCACAGACAGAACUCCAAGAGGCGCCCCUCAGGGCUCAAGACUGUUCCAGGUCCCAGAUGUGAGCAUGAGAAGCGAAUGGCAGAGUCUGUCAGUAAAGCCCUGUGUUGUUGCCCAGAGAAUCAGAAAGCACCAGGAUGGAGAGGAGGGGUUCCAGAGCAGCCCCAUCAAGUUUUAUGGGCUCCUGGGAUGGCCCUCCAGUUGAAUAUGCCUGGAGCUAACCUAAGCCGCAUGCCCUGGGGGAUGAAGGGCGUCACUCACUCACCAUGCAGGUCCCCGACCCGCCACUAGGAGGCACGCGUCUGCCGCAGGUCCCAAGAGCACUGCAGAGGCUCUGAAGGGAACUGGUCCAGAGAACACAACCCAAGGUGGUCACAGCCGAACAGGCUGAUUGUCUACUAGCAAAGCGUCUCAAUGUCCAGGAUAUAACCCCCAAGUACUUGGCAUAUGAAGGACCAGGAGAUCCCCAUUUACACAGGAAAAAAGAAUCUACAGACGCCAGUGCUGAGAGGCCACUGUUAAAGAAAUGCCGAAAGUGUGAGUACUCUUGGAAUGAAUGAAAAUCUCAAUGAGGAAACAGAAAACAAAGACGAACCAAAUGGGAAUUUUAAAAUUGAAAAACAUAGCAACCGGGGCCAGCGCCGUGGUGUAGUAGGUUAAUCCUCCGCCUGCGGCGCUGGCAUCCCAUAUGGGCGCCGGUUCUGGUCCCGACUACCCCUCUUCCAAUCCAGCUCUCUUCUGUGGCCUGGGAAAGCAGUAGAAGAUGGCCCAAGUCCUUGGGUCCCUGCACCCAUGUGGGAGACUGGGAAGAAGCUCCUGGCUCCUGGCUUCGGAUCGGCACAGCUCCAGCUGUUGUGUCCAUUUGGGGAGUAAACCAACAGAAGGAAGACUUUUCUCUCUGUCUCUCCCUCUCACUGUCUGUAACUCUACCUCUCAUUUAAAAAAUAACAUCUUUAAGGCCAGUGCUGCAGCUCACUAGGCUAAUCCUCCGCCUUGCGGCGCUGGCACACUGGGUUUUAGUCCUGGUCGGGGCACCGGAUCCUGUCCCGGUUGCCCCUCUUCCAGGCCAGCUCUCUGCUGUGUCCAGAGAAGGCAGUGGAGGAUGGCCCAAGUGCUUGGGCCCUGCACCCCAUGGGAGACCAGGAUAAGAACCUGGCUCCUGCCUUCGGAUCAGCGCGAUGCGCCGGCCCCAGCACGCUGGCCGCAGCGGCCAUUGGAGGGUGAACCGACGGCAAAGGAAGACCUUUCUCUCUGUCUCUCUCACUGUCCACUCUGCCUGUCAAAAAAGUAAAAAAAAAAAAAAAAAAAAAAAUCUUUAAAAAAAUAAAAUUUAAUUUUAAAAACGAAAAACAUAGCAACCAAAAUAUGUCAUGGAUUUACUAAUAAAUUACUCCUGUAGCCACUGCAACAAAUGAGAAGAAAUUCAGUGACUUAAAUAAAUUCUGUUAUGGUUCUGAGGGUCAGAAUAAUUUAUUUUUAUUUGAUUUGAAAGGGAGAGAGAGAGAGAGAGAGAGAGAGAGAGAGAGAUUAAGAUAU